GUGCACUGUUCAUAUCCUGGUUCAUUCGCAGUAUGAAUUUGGGUUCCAUUCAGGUGUUAGUUGAAUCUUCAGUGAGGCAGGUUAAUGGCACCUUGUGUAUACUUCCCUGUUCACUCUCUGGGAACAUUG
rnacentral:snoRNA from 1 species